rnacentral:rRNA from 1 species
AGAGCUAGCAAUCCCAUAAACCGUGGCUCAGUUCAGAUCGUAGGCUGCAACUCGCCUACGUGAAGUAGGAAUCGCUAGUAAUCGCAGGUCAGCAUACUGCGGUGAAUACGUUCCCGGGCCUUGUACACACCGCCCGUCACACCAUGGAAGUUGGCCAUGCCCGAAGUCGUUACUCCAACCCUUGUGGAGGAGGACGCCGAAGGUGGGGCUAAUGACUGGGGUGAAGUCGUAACAAGGUAGCCGUACCGGAAGGUGCGGCUGGAUCACCUCCUAA